rnacentral:rRNA from 1 species
AUUGAACGCUGGCGGCAGGCCUAACACAUGCAAGUCGAGCGGAGCGGCGGACGGGGUAGUAAUGCCUAGGAAUCUGCCUGGUAGUGGUGGCUAACGUCCGGAAACGGGCGCUAAUACCGCAUACUAUCAAAUGAGCCUAGGUCGGAUUAGCUAGUUGGUGGGGUAAAGGCCUACCAAGGCGACGAUCCGUAAAUGGUCUGAGAGGAUGAUCAGUAACACGGGAACUGAGACACGGGCCAGACUCCUACGGUAGGCAGCAGUGGGGAAUAUUGGACAAUGGGCGAAAGCCUGAUCCAGCCAUGCCGCGUAUGUGAAGAAGGUCUUCGGAUUGUAAAGCACUUUAAGUUGGGAGGCGUUACCAACAGAAUAAGCACCGGCUAACUUCGUGCCAGCAGCCGCGGUAAUUC